rnacentral:ncRNA from 1 species
AGCACUGAGAUUAGUGCUGACACUGGUAAGUCCGACCUGCCUCUAUCAUGGGGCAUCGCCGUAAUGGCUUGGGAUUAC